GUGAGGUAAUAGCUCACCAAGGCAUCGACGGGUAGCUAGUCUGAGAGGACGAUUAGCCACACUGGAACUGAGACACGGUCCAGACUCCUACGGGGGGCAGCAGUGGGGAAUCUUGCGCAAUGGGCGAAAGCCUGACGCAGCCACGCCGCGUGAGGGAUGACGGCUCUCGGGUUGUAAACCUCUUUCAGCAGGGACGAAAAUGACGGUACCUGCAGAAGAAGCCCCGGCCAACUACGUGCCAGCAGCCGCGGUAACACGUAGGGGGCGAGCGUUGUCCGGAUUUAUUGGGCGUAAAGAGCUCGUAGGCGGUUCAGUAAGUCAGAUGUGAAAGUCCAAGGCUCAACCUUGGAAAGCCAUUUGAUACUGCUGUGACUUGAGUCCGGUAGGGGAGUGUGGAAUUCCUGGUGUAGCGGUGAAAUGCGCAGAUAUCAGGAGGAGCACCAGCGGCGAAGGCGGCACUCUGGGCCGGUACUGACGCUAAGGAGCGAAAGCAUGGGGAGCAAACAGGAUUAGAUACCCUGGUAGUCCAUGCCGUAAACGUUGGGCACUAGGUGUGGGACCUUAUUAACGGGUUCCGUGCCGUAGCUAACGCAUUAAGUG
rnacentral:rRNA from 1 species